AACCGGGGGCGUGUGUUGGCCUUGCACCGGAUGGCGACAUCUGUGUUGCGGGCCUUCUGCACGUUUCUCAUCCACAUUCACACCCCUGUGCACCUUUGGGAAAGGCGGGUUCGGGGUCGAAAGGCCCUUAGGACUUUUGCCGGCCCCAUUUUUCACAAACUCUGUAAAUGUCAUUUUGAAUGUCAGGCAGCCAUGCUGUCCUAAAACCAAUUGACAACUUUCAACAACGGAUCUCUUGGCUCUCGCAUCGAUGAAGAACGCAGCGAAAUGCGAUAAGUAAUGUGAAUUGCAGAAUUCAGUGAAUCAUCGAAUCUUUGAACGCACCUUGCGCCCUCUGGUAUUCCGGAGGGCAUGCCCGUUCGAGUGUCUUGACAUCAUCACGCUCUCAGGUUUUUCUUGGGAGAGGUGGAAUUUGGAGGCUUGCUGCUCAAGUAAUUGCGCGGCUCCUCUUGAAUGUAUCGGCUGUGCUUGAAAGCGCUCCUUGACGUUGUAGUUUUCCUCGUCCUGAGCUGCUGUUUGAACCGGCCUCGGCUUUGCCUCUGGAGUGGCGGCCAACACUUGACGAAUUUGACCUCGA
rnacentral:rRNA from 1 species